rnacentral:rRNA from 1 species
AUGAACGCUAGCUACAGGCUUAACACAUGCAAGUCGAGGGGCAUCAGGAAGAAAGCUUGCUUUCUUUGCUGGCGACCGGCGCACGGGUGAGUAACACGUAUCCAACCUGCCCUUUACUCGGGGAUAGCCUUUCGAAAGAAAGAUUAAUACCCGAUGGCAUAAUGAUUCCGCAUGGUUUCAUUAUUAAAGGAUUCCGGUAAAGGAUGGGGAUGCGUUCCAUUAGGUUGUUGGUGAGGUAACGGCUCACCAAGCCUUCGAUGGAUAGGGGUUCUGAGAGGAAGGUCCCCCACAUUGGAACUGAGACACGGUCCAAACUCCUACGGGAGGCAGCAGUGAGGAAUAUUGGUCAAUGGGCGCUAGCCUGAACCAGCCAAGUAGCGUGAAGGAUGAAGGCUCUAUGGGUCGUAAACUUCUUUUAUAUAAGAAUAAAGUGCAGUAUGUAUACUGUUUUGUAUGUAUUAUAUGAAUAAGGAUCGGCUAACUCCGUGCCAGCAGCCGCGGUAAUACGGAGGAUCCGAGCGUUAUCCGGAUUUAUUGGGUUUAAAGGGAGCGUAGGUGGACUGGUAAGUCAGUUGUGAAAGUUUGCGGCUCAACCGUAAAAUUGCAGUUGGUACUGUCAGUCUUGAGUACAGUAGAGGUGGGCGGAAUUCGUGGUGUAGCGGUGAAAUGCUUAGAUAUCACGAAGAACUCCGAUUGCGAAGGCAGCUCACUGGACUGCAACUGACACUGAUGCUCGAAAGUGUGGGUAUCAAACAGGAUUAGAUACCCUGGUAGUCCACACAGUAAACGAUGAAUACUCGCUGUUUGCGAUAUACAGUAAGCGGCCAAGCGAAAGCAUUAAGUAUUCCACCUGGGGAGUACGCCGGCAACGGUGAAACUCAAAGGAAUUGACGGGGGCCCGCACAAGCGGAGGAACAUGUGGUUUAAUUCGAUGAUACGCGAGGAACCUUACCCGGGCUUAAAUUGCAGUGGAAUGAUGUGGAAACAUGUCAGUGAGCAAUCACCGCUGUGAAGGUGCUGCAUGGUUGUCGUCAGCUCGUGCCGUGAGGUGUCGGCUUAAGUGCCAUAACGAGCGCAACCCUUAUCUUUAGUUACUAACAGGUCAUGCUGAGGACUCUAGAGAGACUGCCGUCGUAAGAUGUGAGGAAGGUGGGGAUGACGUCAAAUCAGCACGGCCCUUACGUCCGGGGCUACACACGUGUUACAAUGGGGGGUACAGAAGGCAGCUAGCGGGUGACCGUAUGCUAAUCCCAAAAUCCUCUCUCAGUUCGGAUCGAAGUCUGCAACCCGACUUCGUGAAGCUGGAUUCGCUAGUAAUCGCGCAUCAGCCACGGCGCGGUGAAUACGUUCCCGGGCCUUGUACACACCGCCCGUCAAGCCAUGGGAGCCGGGGGUACCUGAAGUACGUAACCGCAAGGAUCGUCCUAGGGUAAAACUGGUGACUGGGGCU